rnacentral:tRNA from 1 species
GGGGCUAUAGCUCAGUUGAUUAGAGUGCUUCCAUGGCAUGGAAGAAGUCGUGGGUUUGAGUCCCACUAGCUCCACCA